rnacentral:rRNA from 1 species
AUUGAACGCUGGCGGCAGGCCUAACACAUGCAAGUCGAACGAGUGGCGGACGGGUGAGUAAUGUCUGGGAAACUGCCUGCUGGAGGGGGAUAACUACUGGAAACGGUAGCUAAUACCGCAUACCAUCAGAUGUGCCCAGAUGGGUUUAGCUUGUUGGUGGGGUAACGGCUCACCAGGGCGACGAUCCCUAGUUGGUCUGAGAGGAUGACCAGCCACACUGGAACUGAGACGCGGGCCAGACUCCGACGGGAGGUAGCAGUGGGGAAUAUUGCACAAAGGGCGCAAGCCUGAUGCGGCCAUGCCGCGUGUAUGAAGAAGGCCUUCGGGUUGUAAAGUACGUUCAGCGGGGAGGCGUUACCCGCAGAAGAAGCACCGGCUAACUCCGUGCCAGCAGCCGCGGUAAUUC